CUUCCUACGGGAGGCAGCUGUGAGGAAUAUUGGUCAAUGGGCGAGAGCCUGAACCAGCCAAGUCGCGUGAGGGAGUACUGCCCUAUGGGUUGUAAACCUCUUUUGUCGGGGAGCAAAAGCCGGACGUGUCCGGCUGUGAGAGUACCCGAAGAAAAAGCAUCGGCUAACUCCGUGCCAGCAGCCGCGGUAAUACGGAGGAUGCGAGCGUUAUCCGGAUUUAUUGGGUUUAAAGGGUGCGCAGGCGGAUUUUUAAGUCAGCGGUCAAAUCGUGGGGCUCAACCCCAUCCAGCCGUCGGAACUGCCGG
rnacentral:rRNA from 1 species